AACUGGAUGAUCAACAACAAGAUGACUUUCAUCACCAUAUUGAUCUGGACAAUGACAGUAUUAUGUCAAGAAUCUAUUGGGCAGGUGACCGUGACUCAAACUCCCUCAAAGCUCGCUCAAACUGGACAAUCAGUCACUGUAACCUGUAAAUUUAGCAGUGAUCCUACCUGUUGUUGUAAUGGAAAACAGUGUCUCAGCUGGUACUUACAGAAACCUGGAGGAAUUCCCAAACUCCUGAUUUAUGGUACAAGCACACUCCAGUCAGGAACUCCAUCUAGAUUCAGUGGCAGUGGAUCUAACAGUGAUUUUACUCUGACCAUCAGUGGAGUCCAGACUGAAGAUGCUGGACAUUAUUACUGUCAGAGUUUUCACUGCAGGACAAAUUCUUAUGGUGGCUGUGCGGGUGAUUAUGUGUUCACACAGUGAUAAAGAGUCGUACAAAAACCUCCGUCAGUCAGAGUCACAGUGACUGAACUGAUUCUGCAGCUGCUCAAACACUAUCACUCACUACUGACACACAGAGACCAAACACAGGAACUACACAUGUGCU